rnacentral:rRNA from 1 species
AUUGAACGCUGGCGGCAUGCCUUACACAUGCAAGUCGAACGGUAACAGGUCUUCGGAUGCUGACGAGUGGCGAACGGGUGAGUAAUACAUCGGAACGUGCCUAGUAGUGGGGGAUAACUACUCGAAAGAGUGGCUAAUACCGCAUGAGAUCUAUGGAUGAAAGCAGGGGAUCGCAAGACCUUGUGCUACUAGAGCGGCCGAUGGCAGAUUAGGUAGUUGGUGGGAUAAAAGCUUACCAAGCCGACGAUCUGUAGCUGGUCUGAGAGGACGAUCAGCCACACUGGGACUGAGACACGGCCCAGACUCCUACGGGAGGCAGCAGUGGGGAAUUUUGGACAAUGGGCGCAAGCCUGAUCCAGCAAUGCCGCGUGCAGGAUGAAGGCCUUCGGGUUGUAAACUGCUUUUGUACGGAACGAAAAGCCCUGGGUUAAUACCCUGGGGUCAUGACGGUACCGCAAGAAUAAGCACCGGCUAACUACGUGCCAGCCGCCGCAGUAACAC